rfam:Picea glauca, whole genome shotgun sequence.
AUCUCUUGUGAUGUUAAAAAUAAAACUUUCGAUCUUUCGAGAUAUAAGAGAUGCGAAAAAUGUUUGGAGACUUGAACUGAAGAGAU